CACGCAGGCGGCUUUGCAAGCUUGGUGUGAAAUCCCGGGGCUCAACCCCGGAACUGCAUUGAGAACUGCAUGGCUAGAGUUAGUGAGGGGAAACCGGAAUUCCUAGUGUAGCGGUGAAAUGCGUAGAUAUUAGGAGGAACACCGGUGGCGAAGGCGGCUUACUGGACUGUAACUGACGUUGAGGCUCGAAAGCGUGGGGAGCAAACA
rnacentral:rRNA from 1 species